CUUUGGGCCAGCCCCCAGGCGUCCAGCCUACGCAAGCCACCUCCACGCUCCGACCUUCGACCCUGCGCCUGUGUGAGACCUGCGUGGCCCACAGCCUCGGCCACUGUCGCGCGGAGCCCGCCCCCCUAUGGUCACCGGCCGACUCGUCCACCAUGGUCCGAGUCAGAGCAGUGGCACGGUGGCCGUCUCCACCUGCCUAGCGCCGCCCAAGUCGCCGCCCCGCCCCCGCCACUCCGCCAGGCCACCCAUGGCAGCGCGGCUAGUCCCUCGUCGGCUCGCUCGCCCCUGCUUGCUCGUCCCACGGUCCCAGCUUCCCUCCCAGGUAGCAGCAGCGUGCGGUGCUCUAGCGUCGGGUGCACAAUUGAGGACUUAGGUGAAGCUUGUUUCAUUGUCUGCUUGUGUAAGGAUUCAACUGGAUCUGGCAUCUAGGGAUUCUGGACUGGUUGCGACAAAGAUAUUUAAUCCGAUUUAUUUGUCAAUGUGUAGAUCUAUUUUGGUUCCUAUUCCAAACAUCAGUAUACAUAGAUGGAAAUAAAAACAAGUGAAAGAAGACUGCCCAAAAAAGUAUCUCUCUUUAUUAUGCGCAACUAGGGGGACUGAACUGGGAGGUUGCAAUGAAGCAGUGGUGGCUGAUUCAGUGAUCCAGUGUUGAAAUUGGCAAUCUGAAAAAGAAUCUUCGGACCCUGCUGAACUCUACAUAUGUGAUUAAGUUGUCAUAUGAAUAAGUGUUAGUAGGGAUGUAUUGGAGAUGGGCUUGGGAGUUUCUGGCAGAGUGGAACCAAAUGAAGAUGUCUAAGUUAAGAAGGGAUUCAAAGCUAUGUGUGGUGAAGCUUUUUAUCUGUUUGGUUCCUGCUACUUCAUUGGAUCAAGUUCAAUGUACUGUUGUGUUUUAUCGUGUAGAGUGGAGAUAUGGAUGAAGUAUAGAGUUUAGGUGCUGAAGGCCUCUCACUACUGAAAAAUAUCAAGUUUUGGUUCCA